rnacentral:rRNA from 1 species
GACGAACGCUGGCGGCGUGCCUAAUACAUGCAAGUUGAGCGCUGAAGGUUGGUACUUGUACCAACUGGAUGAGCAGCGAACGGGUGAGUAACGCGUGGGGAAUCUGCCUUUGAGCGGGGGACAACAUUUGGAAACGAAUGCUAAUACCGCAUAAAAACUUUAAACACAAGUUUUAAGUUUGAAAGAUGCAAUUGCAUCACUCAAAGAUGAUCCCGCGUUGUAUUAGCUAGUUGGUGAGGUAAAGGCUCACCAAGGCGAGGAUACAUAGCCGACCUGAGAGGGGGAUCGGCCCCAUUGGGACUGAGACACGGCCCAAACGCCUACGGGAGGCAGCAGUAGGGAAUCUUCGGCAAUGGACGAAAGUCUGACCGAGCAACGCCGCGGGAGUGAAGAAGGUUUUCGGAUCGUAAAACUCGGUUGGUAGAGAAGAACGUUGGUGAGAGUGGAAAGCUCAUCAAGUGACGGUAACUACCCAGAAAGGGACGGCUAACUACGUG